rnacentral:lncRNA from 1 species
AGCACUUGGUCGCAAUAGUGGUGCACUAGGUAGGGAAGUACCCAUAUGACUGUGGGGCAUCUAUUCUAGCUUAUAUAAAAAGGGACCAUCUAUCUCAAGUGAGGUGCCAUUUAGAUCGAAAUCUAGAGAGACAAACUUGUGAGGUCUAUGAGUUAGAGCGGAUGAUACCUCAUAUGCUGAGUCAUGAGCUUUUGGCCGCAAUAGUGGUGUGCUAACUAGAGGACCAUC